CCUACGGGGGGCUGCAGUGGGGAAUUUUGGACAAUGGGGGCAACCCUGAUCCAGCCAUGCCGCGUGCGGGAAGAAGGCCUUCGGGUUGUAAACCGCUUUCGGCCGGAACGAAAUCGCCGGGGAGAACAUCCCCGGUGGAUGACGGUACCGGAAGAAGAAGCACCGGCUAACUACGUGCCAGCAGCCGCGGUAAUACGUAGGGUAAGAGCGUUGAUCGGAAUUACUGGGCGCGGUGCGCUAACAGGGGUGUGAAAUCCCCGGGCUUAACCUGGGAACUGCGUUUGUGACUGGCGGGCUGGAGUGCGGAAGAGGGAGGUGGAAUUCCACGUGUAGCAGUGAAAUGCGUAGAGAUGUGGAGGAACACCGAUGGCGAAGGCAGCCUCCUGGUCUAGCACUGACGCUCAUGCACGAAAGCGUGGGGAGCAAACAGGAUUAGAUACCCCUGUAGUC
rnacentral:rRNA from 1 species